CGGGGCGUAGCGCAGAUGGUAGCGCGCUUGGUUCGGGACCAAGAGGCCGCUGGUUCAAGUCCAGUCGCCCCGACCA
rnacentral:tRNA from 1 species